rnacentral:rRNA from 1 species
AGCGAACGCUAGCGGCGGGCUUAACACAUGCAAGUCGAGCGGAGAGCUUCGGCUCUCAGCGGCGAACGGGUGAGUAACACGUAGGUCACGUACCCUUUGAUGGGGAAUAACCUAGGGAAACCUGGGCUAAUACCGCAUAUGUCCUUCGGGAUGAAAGCCUUCGGGCGUCAGAGGAUCGGCCUGCGGCCCAUUAUUUAAUCCUAGUUGGUAGGGUAAUGGCCUACCAAGGGUACGAUGGGUAGCUGGUCUGAGAGGAUGAUCAGCCACACUGGAACUGAGACACGGUUCAGACUCCUACGGGAGGCAGCAGUGGGGAAUAUUGGACAAUGGGCGAAAGCCUGAUCCAGCCACGCCGCGUGGGUGAUGAAGGCCUUCGGGUUGUAAAGUCCUGUCGGGAGGGACGAAUCAAUGACGGUACCUCCCAAGAAAGCACCGGCUAACUCCGUG